ensembl:lncRNA
CCUCUGUGAUGGUAAAGGCUCCAAGGUGGGUUUGCAUUUCCCACUUGGAAAGAAGGCCAACGCCCCCAGAAAGGAGUGCAUGUGGCCAUUCAAGGGUGCCUACUGAUUUCAUCCAUAGUAUGCCAGCAGGCCGUGAAAAGCGAACCGUACCGGAGUCCGUUGGGGUCUGUUUCCUGCACUUUUGCUGUAUACCCCAGGAAUGCUGCGGUGUGCGCCCCGGUGGAGCCCCAGAAGGCCGAGACGAAGAGGCUGGCAGUCCAGUGCUCAAUACCUGAUGACAGGCCAGCUCUUGGCUGCUGGGCUGGACAAAGGCAAGGGCCUAAGCAGAAUUUUCAAAUUGAGGCUAUCAGUCUGUUCUGCAAAGUGGGGAAUGUGUGGUCCUGGCCUGAGAGCGCCCCCUCUCGGGCUGAAUUGCUUCCUCCCCACUGCUUGCGGGCCCACAGUUCAAUUCCCCGCACAUUUUGGGGUCCCUCUUCCCAGAAACUAUGUCCGCGCUAGCUGCUGCUGAUUCAGUGAUUCUCCGCGGCAGCUUCUCCUCUGCCGGGUUCGUCCGGACUAGAGAUCGCCUCCUAGACACGUGUCCAGUUCAAAAGAUCCUGGGACAGGGGCAAGCGGUUCGACCUGGGUGAACCAAGGAGUUGGAGGAUGUUGCAGACCCCGGAGAGGCUGUCAGAGUGGAUGCAGACCGCCCCCGCCCUUCCCUCGCACCGAAUCAGAGAACUCAACCCCGCCCGCACAGGAGGCAGGAGCAGGGGCGGGGAGCUUUCAAU